GACGAACGCUGGCGGCGUGCUUAACACAUGCAAGUCGAACGGAAAGGCCCUGCUUUUGUGGGGUGCUCGAGUGGCGAACGGGUGAGUAACACGUGAGUAACCUGCCCUUGACUUUGGGAUAACUUCAGGAAACUGGGGCUAAUACCGGAUAGGAGCUCCUGCUGCAUGGUGGGGGUUGGAAAGUUUCGGCGGUUGGGGAUGGACUCGCGGCUUAUCAGCUUGUUGGUGGGGUAGGGGCUUACCAAGGCUUUGACGGGUAGCCGGCCUGAGAGGGUGACCGGCCACAUUGGGACUGAGAUACGGCCCAGACUCCUACGGGAGGCAGCAGUGGGGAAUCUUGCACAAUGGGCGGAAGCCUGAUGCAGCAACGCCGCGUGCGGGAUGACGGCCUUCGGGUUGUAAACCGAUUUCGCCUGUGACGAAGCGUGAGUGACGGUAAUGGGUAAAGAAGCACCGGCUAACUACGUG
rnacentral:rRNA from 1 species